rnacentral:lncRNA from 1 species
UGUUGAUGCUUGUCUCCGGUUUGCUCUGUCUCGAUAGAGUUCUGCAAGCGUGUCGGAAUGUGAGGACCCGUUCGACUACGUUGGUUCGCCGACUUCACAGAGUCAUUCUUCUUGCAAGCGGGAUCUCAGGAAAGAUGACCAUUUCCCCAGAUACCACUACUAUCAUUGCCAUGCUAGUUAUUUCGAUGCUAUCGAUUAUGUCUCGUUUCCUACCACAUGUUAAAUAUCAGCCUCUCAACAAUGCCAUGAAAACCUUCAACCUGUUCACAAC